rnacentral:tmRNA from 1 species
GGGGAUGCAACGGCUUCGACAGGAAAGUGGACGGUUGCAAACUGCGAGCCGAGCUGUCCUAACUCGUUAAACUGGGGCAAAACAAUAAGUGCCGAGAAAGUACCUGCUUUCGGGCGCUCCUACAACGCUCUGCCCCUCGCGGCCUAAUAGCGUUGUAGGCGCAUAACGGCUCCACAAGCGAGCCUCGUCCACACAUUCUCUUACCCCCGAGAGAGAGGUGUGGGCGUCAGAUAAAUCGGGGUGCUCCGGGGCGACGCCGAUAAACCCCGGCUAAGACGUAUCGGCUGGUUUGGGUGGACUGCGGCGACCCACGAAGCCCAAACGAGAACUUGAGUGUCGCCUACGCUCGUAGACGUUUGCAACCAGCUUUUCUGGACGCGGGUUCGACUCCCGCCAUCUCCACUC